CUGACCCAAGGCUCUGGGGUUCGGAGCCUAGACCAAGGUUCUUGGGUUCGGUGUCAGAACCCAAUUCUCUUGGAUCUGACGUCAGGACCCAAGGCUAAUGGGUCAU
rnacentral:pre_miRNA from 1 species